UACGGGGGGGGCAAGCGUUGUUCGGAAUUACUGGGCGUAAAGGGCGCGUAGGCGGUUCGCUAAGUUGGAUGUGAAAACUCUGGGCUCAACCCAGAGCCUGCAUCCAAAACUGGCGGGCUAGAGUUCUGGAGGGGGUAGCGGAAUUCCUGGUGUAGCGGUGAAAUGCGCAGAUAUCGGGAGGAACACCAAUGGCGAAGGCAGCUUGCUGGGACGGUACUGACGCUGAGGCGCGAAAGCUAGGGGAGCAAACGGG
rnacentral:rRNA from 1 species